AGNGAGCCAUGUUGCCUACUCUGUA
rnacentral:piRNA from 1 species